rnacentral:rRNA from 1 species
GAUGAACGCUGGCGGCGUGCUUAACACAUGCAAGUCGAACGGAAAGGCCUCUGCUUUCCGGGGUUCUCGAGUGGCGAACGGGUGAGUAACACGUGGGUGAUCUGCCCUUCACUUCGGGAUAAGCCUGGGAAACUGGGUCUAAUACCGGAUAGGACAUUGUUAUGGAUGCUGUUGUGGAGAGAUUUUCGGUGUGGGAUGAGCUCGCGGACUAUCAGCUUGUUGGUGGGGUAGUGGCGUACCAAGGCGUUGACGGGGAGCCGGCAUGAGAGGGUGUACGGCCACACUGGAACUGAGAGACAGGCAGGAGUAGGACGUGAGGCAGAAAGGGGGAAUAUUGCACAAUGGGAGGAAGCCUGAUGGAGGAAGGCCGCGUGGGGGAAGAAGGCCUUCGGGUUGUAAAAUCCUUUCGCUAGGGACGAAGCGUUUUUGUGACGGUACCUGGAGAAGAAGCACCGGCUAACUACGUG